GUAGAUAGGUCUGAGGUGUAAGUAUGGCGACAUACGCAGCUGACAGAUACUAAUCGAUCGAGGACUUAACCUAUU
rnacentral:rRNA from 1 species